UUUACCCUAUGCUUUAUUAUGUAAUGAGCGUGAUAAAUGAGGGCAGUAAAGGUGGUUGAACUAAUCAAAACUAUUUGUUGCGAUGAGUUGAGUGCAGCAAGUCAGAUGAACUACGUCUGUAUGGCCAUUUCAUGCUAAUUUAAAUGACGUAGGCCUUUCUUUGGUCGGCUUCUCCUCAGUCGGCAUUGACCGUCCAUAUUGUGUGUUGUCUUUAGACAGGUCACAAAACUGAAAAUCUCAACUUGCUGAAUGUAAGCCUGCACACCCAAAGCAAUUUAAAAAAACAAGUAAUCACUUAAUCAUUAAGUAAGCACAUAGCUGAAUGAGAUCAUGCAUAAUUAGUGAGAGAGUUAAAACUGUACAACAAACAGCUAAGUUUCGGAGAGUGGACCUGGUUUUCAUCAAAUUAAAAAAUCUCGAUCUACUCCACCUUGGUCGCAAAGUUAAUUAUAGAUGUGAUGAGAUGAUUGUAGGAAAAAAGACA